CCCCCGAAUUCGCGCGUUUUCUUCAGUUCCCUUUUCGCUUCGUAUUUGCCAUCGCCAUAUCAGACUUUUUUCGUACACAUUACUUCGAUCAUCAUGCCACGAGUGAUGCCAGCUGCAUUAAGAUGUCUGUGCAACACACAGAAGGGGCACCGAUGCAAAAGGAAGACAAGGCACCCAACAAGAAUAUGCCACCAACAUCGGAGAAACUUCGCCGACGAUGCCGCGUAAGUUUUAGAACAGUUUUUAUC